rnacentral:misc_RNA from 1 species
AAAUUUUAUAGUAAUAUAUUUUGUUUAUUAUUUUUAUUCGUUCAAUCUCGCCCUCUUUUUAUAUUAUUUUUAUAAUUGGUCCCACAUAGAUAAUAUGACUAUCCACGAAAAUUACGACAAAUUAUAGUAUCAACAUGUGACAUGUAAGUUAUAUUUAAAAAAAAAUUAUAAAGUGAUUAUAAAAUUGUAGGAUCCUAUAUAUCUAUACAUUGAGAUUAUAAUUUUUCGAAAUAAUUACGGUCAAUU